rnacentral:rRNA from 1 species
CACAUGCAAGUCGAACGCCCUAGCAAUAGGGAGUGGCAGACGGGUGAGUAACGCGUGGGAAUCUACCUUGUGGUACGGAACAACCAAGGGAAACUUUGGCUAAUACCGUAUGAGCCCUUCGGGGGAAAGAUUUAUCGCCAUAAGAUGAGCCCGCGUAGGAUUAGCUAGUUGGUGAGGUAAUGGCUCACCAAGGCGACGAUCCUUAGCUGGUCUGAGAGGAUGACCAGCCACACUGGGACUGAGACACGGCCCAGACUCCUACGGGAGGCAGCAGUGGGGAAUAUUGGACAAUGGGCGCAAGCCUGAUCCAGCCAUGCCGCGUGUGUGAUGAAGGCCUUAGGGUUGUAAAGCACUUUCGCCGAUGAAGAUAAUGACUGUAGUCGGAGAAGAAGCCCCGGCUAACUUCGUGCCAGCAGCCGCGGUAAUACGAAGGGGGCUAGCGUUGUUCGGAAUUACUGGGCGUAAAGCGUACGUAGGCGGAUUGUUAAGUGAGGGGUGAAAUCCCGAGGCUCAACCUCGGAACUGCCUUUCAUACUGGCAAUCUUGAGUCCGGGAGAGGUGAGUGGAACUCCUAGUGUAGAGGUGAAAUUCGUAGAUAUUAGGAAGAACACCAGUGGCGAAGGCGGCUCACUGGCCCGGAACUGACGCUGAGGUACGAAAGCGUGGGGAGCAAACAGGAUUAGAUACCCUGGUAGUCCACGCCGUAAACGAUGGAUGCUAGCCGUCGGGGAGCUUGCUCUUCGGUGGCGCAGCUAACGCAUUAAGCAUCCCGCCUGGGGAGUACGGUCGCAAGAUUAAAACUCAAGGAAU